AAUGACUGCCAAAUAAACUUGCACCCGAGCUCUUAGUCAUACUUUUCAUGGCUCAUAUGGAGUGCAGUUGUGAAGAAAACAGCAAGACUCACUUCAGAAUCGAGAAUCAUGAAUUCAAGGCACAAUACUGGAAUUAAAUGACAAAGUAAACAACUAACAUGACUAAGACAUGACAGAAAUGGAUUUAGAAAAUAAAAUGACUCAAAGCAAAGAAUUCACCGAAUUAAAAUGAUAAUAUGAAAGCAAAAUAAAGCUAGCACAGAACAAACGACUCAAACAGAACCUACUAAAACCAGAAAACGAAUCAAAGCAUGACAAAAUUAAAACAACUCAUCAGCACCGAGAGAACACCACCAGACAUUCAAGGAAAUGUAAAGAACAACGUGGAGAAUGAACCAAAAUUAACACUGCUGAGAAUCAAAAGAACUCAUACAAGACCGAAUCAUAACAACAUGAAACAAAGACAAAGACUCAAACAAACUGAGAAUCAAAGAGAAACAAAACACGAAACAUUGAAAACAAAAUCAGAGAUAGAGACAGAGAUACUUAGCUUUGUCGCGUGGACGCAACCUUGCUCUGACUACCACUUGAUACGAGAGAGCCUCGAAGAAGGUUGACCGAGAGGUGAUGCAGACUCCUCGAAGCUUCUCCGACGGUGAAUGACGCAGCGGAAUGGAAUAUAUUCGAAGAAGAAAACGAUCUAGGACCUAAUCGGACCGAAUGUGAGGAAGAACUCACGGAAACCCUAAAUGAGGAGAAAACCCUAAAUCGANN
rnacentral:lncRNA from 1 species